rnacentral:rRNA from 1 species
CCUACGGGAGGCAGCAGUAAGGGAUAUUGGUCAAUGGGGGAAACCCUGAACCAGCAACGCCGCGUGAGGGAAGACGGUUUUCGGAUUGUAAACCUCUGUCCUCUGUGAAGAUGAUGACGGUAGCAGAGGAGGAAGCUCCGGCUAACUACGUGCCAGCAGCCGCGGUCAUACGUAGGGAGCGAGCGUUGUCCGGAUUUACUGGGUGUAAAGGGUGCGUAGGCGGCUUGGCAAGUCAGUAGUGAAAUCCAUGGGCUUAACCCAUGAACUGCUAUUGAAACUGUCGAGCUGGAGUGAAGUAGAGGUAGGCGGAAUUCCCGGUGUAGCGGUGAAAUGCGUAGAGAUCGGGAGGAACACCAGUGGCGAAGGCGGCCGACUGGGCUUUAACUGACGCUGAGGCACGAAAGCGUGGGUAGCAAACAGGAUUAGAUACCCGAGUAGUC